GCACGGGUGGCCCAGCGGGGUUGCCGGCGGGCCCUCCGGUUAUGAGGCGGCAGCUAUGAGGCUGCAGCUGCCGCCCGUCCUGGUGGAGGAAGGGAGGCUUAGAGAGAUUCCAGGUGGAGGGGCUGGGGGGGUGCUUGCUUUCUCAGGGAAACAGCCAGUUCUCUGCGACUCUGUGGUGCGUUGGACGCCACCUCCAAGUCUCAGGCUUUCCCGCCUCUUUGAGGUUCUAAAUGUAAAUGCCCACCUGCGGCUGUUGUCUACAGCAUCAGACAGUGCAGUUCUAGGCAAUGUGAGAGGGAGACCCGUACAACCCCAGCACUGAGGAGUCACAGGAUUGGAUUCAUGAUGAGCUGAGCAAGUUUUGAGGUGAAGAGCCCAUCCUCCAAAGAUUUCUAAAUGGGGUAAAGUCAAGGUUUUAGAAGAGGCGAAGAUUAAUUUUGUCUGGGACACUCAAUGAAGGCUUCCUGGAGGAGGAGGCAUUUGAUCUGGCUGAUCCAGAACUACGGCAGUCACCCUAACACCAUUUCUCUGGAUUCCUUUAAGCAGCAAGAGCCAUUCAAGAACUAGUCAAGGGGCCCUGCUUAGAAGAAGAACAUGCAUUGAUGUAAAUGUUCUAAAUGUCGGUUCAGCUUCCCAACAACCACGUGAGGUGUGAGCAUCCUUGUUUGUCAAAUGAGGGGACCAAGGUUCAGAGAGUAAAUCAUCCACAAUGGCACAGCCAGGAAGUGACAGAGCUAGGAUUCAAACACAGAUCUGAUUACAAUGUCUGUGCUCAUUCCCCCGUGAGAACUAUGAUCCAGAAGGGGAGGCACAGUGGAUACACAGGGCUUUGUGGAGGGAUCGGAAGAUGGCUUCUCAGUCUCAUCCUGUUCAUUUCUUCCCCAUGAGGGCCUCCUCAACGUUGCAGCCAGAGUUCCCUGCAGCCCGCAGACACGGUGUCUAUCCCGGAAAAGCUGCCCCCAUUCAGGAAUACAGACCAGGAAUUGUCACAGGAGCAAGAAAUAAACCUUUGUCAUGUUCACCGAAAAUGUUGCAGUUGAUGUGUAGCAGCACCUAGCAUGAACCUGAGUAUUACAGCUGCUCUCUCACCGUGGAUCCUCGAAGGGAACCCCAAUUAGGGCAGUUCAUUUCUGAAGCUAUUCCCUUCUUUCUGCUUGGAGGCAGUGGGGGUCCUUCUCACUUGCCCUGAUUUCAAAAGCAUCAGCCAACCCAUCACUUCCUCUGCCUCCGUUUCCCUCUCCUUUCCCACGACCGUCUAAACCGUUCUGAAUGCUGAGCAGCUCUCUUGCAAGAUUGCAGGACUCACACUCGGGGCAAAGGCUGUGCACAAUCCUUGUUUCUAUUUCGGAGUGGGCUAGAGCAGAGAGCCGGAGGGAAACUCACGGCAAAAAAACUCAUCCCAAGGCAAACCUUGCCACACAGCCAGGGCCUGCCACGGGUUCUACAUAACUAAUCGGCCACCAGUCUCUCCAAGCAGGACACAGGCUCAGUGGGGAGUGUCUUGGCCUAGUUAUAAUAUCCAGCUUUUAUUACCAUUCUUUCUCUAUCUUAUCAAUGGGGAAAAGGGCAAGGGCCUUAGGCAUGUGUCCAAAGAUACACGCCAGGCUCACAGCAGCUCUCUGUGGCCCAGUUCAUGUGAGUUGUGCUCUGA